rnacentral:rRNA from 1 species
GAUGAACGCUGGCGGCGUGCCUAAUACAUGCCAGUCGAGCGAACAGAUGAGGAGCUUGCUCCUCUGACGUUAGCGGCGGACGGGUGAGUAACACGUGGAUAACCUACCUAUAAGACUGGGAUAACUUCGGGAAACCGGAGCUAAUACCGGAUAAUAUAUUGAACCGCAUGGUUCAAUAGUGAAAGACGGUUUUGCUGUCACUUAUAGAUGGAUCCGCGCCGCAUUAGCUAGUUGGUAAGGUAACGGCUUACCAAGGCAACGAUGCGUAGCCGACCUGAGAGAGUGAUCGGCCACACUGGAACUGAGACACGGUCCAGACUCCUACGGGAGGCAGCAGUAGGGAAUCUUCCGCAAUGGGCGAAAGCUUGACGGAGCAACGCCGCGUGAGUGAUGAAGGUCUUCGGAUCGUAAAACUCUGUUAUUAGGGAAGAACAAAUGUGUAAGUAACUAUGCACGUCUUGACGGUACCUAAUCAGAAAGCCACGGCUAACUACGUG